rnacentral:rRNA from 1 species
GGGCUUCGACCGGCGUACGGGUGCGUAACGCGUAUACAAUCUGCCUUUCACAUAGGGAUAGCCCGAAGAAAUUUGGAUUAAUACCUAAGUGGUAUAUAGAAUGUGGCAUCACGCUUUAUAUUAAAGCCUGAGGGCGGUGAAAGAUGAGUAUGCGUUCUAUUAGCUAGUUGGAGAGGUAACGGCUCCCCAAGGCGACGAUAGAUAGGGGUUCUGAGAGGGAUACCCCCCACACUGGUACUGGGAUACGGACCAGACUCCUACGGGAGGCAGCAGUGAGGAAUAUUGGACAAUGGUCGGAAGACUGAUCCAGCCAUGCCGCGUGCAGGAAGACGGCCUUAUGGGUUGUAAACUGCUUUUGCAGGGGAAGAAUAAGGAGUACGUGUACUUUGAUGACGGUACUCUGCGAAUAAGCAUCGGCUAACUCCGUGCCAGCAGCCGCGGUAAUACGGAGGAUGCGAGCGUUAUCCGGAAUCAUUGGGUUUAAAGGGUCCGUAGGCGGGCUAAUAAGUCAGAGGUGAAAGCGCUCAGCUCAACUGAGCAACUGCCUUUGAAACUGUUAGUCUUGAAUGGUUGUGAAGUAGUUGGAAUGUGUAGUGUAGCGGUGAAAUGCUUAGAUAUUACACAGAACACCGAUAGCGAAGGCAUAUUACUAACAAUUAAUUGACGCUGAUGGACGAAAGCGUGGGGAGCGAACAGGAUUAGAUACCCUGGUAGUCCACGCUGUAAACGAUGGAUACUAGCUGUUUGGUUGCAAGACUGAGUGGCUA